AUCACCUCCAAGCGUGAGGACUCUCCCACCUGGCCUCUCUGCCUCCCAGCUGUGGAUGUGGAGCGGGGGAGUUCCAGGGUCAGGAUCUUUGCAUAGGUCCUGCAUGGGUUCCUCUUUGAUGAUUCAUCUAUGACAGAGUGAGGAAGAUGGGCCCUGAGCUAACAUCUAUUGCCAAUCCUCCUCUUUUUGCUUGAGAAAGAUUGUCCCUGAGCUAACAUCCAUGCCAGUUUUCCUCUAUUUUGUUUCUGGGAUACUGCCACAGCAUGGCUUGAUGAAGAGAUGGACAGAGAGAUCCCAAUUCACACCUGGGAUCCAAAACUGCGGACCCUGGGCUGCUGAGCAGAGUGCACAAACUUAUCCUCUACGCUGCCAGGACAGCCACUAUUUAUGUUCUCCUUAAUUUCUUUCAGUAAUGUUUUGUAGUUUUCAUUGUGCAAGUCUUUCACAUUCUUGGUAGUUAAUUUCUAAGUAUUUUAUUCUUUUUUGAUGCUAUUGUAAAUGGAAUUGUUUUUGUCAUUUCCUCUUCAGAUAGUUCAUUGUUUGUGUGUAGAAAUGAAACAGAUUUUUGUAUGUUGACUUUGUAUCCUGCUACUUUGCUGAAUUCAUUUAUUAGUUGCAAUUUUUUUUUUUUUGGUGAGGUCUUUAGUGUUUUCUACAUAUAAGAUCAUAUCAUCUGCAAACAGAUAAUUCUACUUCUUCCUUUCCAAUUUGGAUUCCUUCUACUUUUUUCCUUGCUUAAUUGCUCUGGCUAGAACUUCCAGUACUAUGUUAAAUAGAAAGUGAAAGGUGAAAGUGAGCAUUUUUGCCUUGUUCCUGAUCUUAGAGGAAAAGCUUUCAGUCUUUCACCAUUGAGUAUGAUGGUUGCUGCGGGUUUUUACACAUGGCUUUUAUUAUGUUGAGAGAGUUCCUUCCACUCCUAUUUUGUUGAGUGUUUUUAUCCUGAAACAGUGUUGAAUUUUGUCAAAUGCUUUUUCCACAUCAAUUGAGAUAAUCUUGUUUUUUAAAAUUCCUUUUGUUGAUGUGUAUGACAUGGAUUGAUUUUCCUAUGUUGAACCAUCCUUGCAUUCCAGGAAUAAAUCUCACUUUCU
rnacentral:lncRNA from 1 species